UACGUAGGGGGGCUAGCGUUGUCCGGAAUUACUGGGCGUAAAGCGCGUGUAGGCGGAUGGGCAAGUCUGCUGUGAAAGCUCCUGGCUUAACCGGGAGUGGUCGGUGGAAACUGCCAAUCUGGAGGACGGUAGAGGUAGGUAGAAUUCCCGGUGUAGUGGUGAAGAUCGUAGAGAUCGGGAGGAAUACCUGUGGCGAAGGCGGCCUACUGGGCCGGACCUGACGCUGAGACGCGAAGGCGUGGGGAGCGAACGGG
rnacentral:rRNA from 1 species